ACUGGGUAUGGUGGCGCACAUCCGUAAUCCCAGUGGCUUGGGAGUGUGAGGCAGGAGGACUGUGAGUUCAAAGCCAGCCUCAGAAACUUAGUGAGGCUCUGAGUAACUUAGGGUGUCCCUGUCUCAA
rnacentral:sRNA from 1 species